AUGGGAACGCGAAGAACCUUACCUACUCUUGACAUCCAGAGAACUUAGCAGAGAUGCUUUGGUGCCUUCGGGAACUCUGAGACAGGUGCUGCAUGGCUGUCGUCAGCUCGUGUUGUGAAAUGUUGGGUUAAGUCCCGCAACGAGCGCAACCCUUAUCCUUUGUUGCCAGCGAUUCGGUCGGGAACUCAAAGGAGACUGCCAGUGAUAAACUGGAGGAAGGUGGGGAUGACGUCAAGUUAUCAUGGCCCUUACGAGUAGGGCUACACACGUGCUACAAUGGCGCAUACAAAGAGAAGCGACCUCGCGAGAGCAAGCGGACCUCAUAAAGUGCGUCGUAGUCCGGAUUGGAGUCUGCAACUCGACUCCAUGAAGUCGGAAUCGCUAGUAAUCGUAGAUCAGAAUGCUACGGUGAAUACGUUCCCGGGUCUUGUACACACCG
rnacentral:rRNA from 1 species